GAACAAGUUGCAUGUGUUAGUUCCCUUGGCAAAAGUGGCAGUCUGUGAAUGGUGAAUAUUCAAGGUGGCACCAGGCUCAUCUAUGCUGAGACUGCCUUCAUCACAGAAGAUCCAAGGAUUUUAUUUGAAGCUUACAAAAUUUGUCUGAAAUGAAAGGGUAGAGAGGCCUGGAGCUGCGUAUUACUCUCCUGCCUAUUG